GUAGCCUAACCACUUUUAACCAGCAGCAUUAAUCACCAAUAAUCGCAGUAAGCUCUGUUUUUUGAUACUUUCGAUAAGAAACAAAGUGUCAUCUUUCAAAUUCAGUCGAUUUUUUUUUUUUUUACGAAAUUUGAACAAUAAAUGCCGUUUUGACGCUUGUUGAUGUAACAGAUCGCCUCAGUUCAAACGGCAGCGCGGAGCGCGAGUGAACGCGAUCGUCUCUUCCUCUUCACUACUAGUUACAGAAUAAACAUGAAUGAACAUCUGAAGGUUUUGCAGACCUCACUGUGUCAUGGACAAACAGCACAGCAGCUUUGCAGAACAGUCUCACAUUCUCAUCUGUGCAUCUGUGACAGGACACAAUCUAACUAAGGUCGGGAUCAUUUAUAUGCACACCCCCAAUAUUUGCAUAUGCCAGCCCAUGUUCAAGGCAUUACACAAGCCAGUAUUAAUGUCUGGAUCUGUGCACAGCUGAAUCAUCAGACUAG